UCAGGCCUAACACAUGCAAGUCGAGGGGUAGAAGGAGCUUGCUCCUUUGAGACCGGCGCACGGGUGCGUAACGCGUAUGCAACCUACCUUUUACAGAGGGAUAGCCCAGAGAAAUUUGGAUUAAUACCUCAUAGUAUAUAUCAUUCGCAUGUUUGGUAUAUUAAAGUUCCAACGGUAAAAGAUGAGCAUGCGUCCCAUUAGUUAGUUGGUAAGGUAACGGCUUACCAAGACGAUGAUGGGUAGGGGUCCUGAGAGGGAGAUCCCCCACACUGGUACUGAGACACGGACCAGACUCCUACGGGAGGCAGCAGUGAGGAAUAUUGGUCAAUGGACGCAAGUCUGAACCAGCCAUGCCGCGUGCAGGAAGACGGUCCUAUGGAUUGUAAACUGCUUUUGUACGGGAAGAAACACUCCUAC
rnacentral:rRNA from 1 species